UACGAAGGGGGGCUAGCGUUGCUCGGAAUUACUGGGCGUAAAGGGCGCGUAGGCGGAUAUCUAAGUUGGGGGUGAAAUCCCGGGGCUCAACCUCGGAAUUGCCUUCAAAACUGAAUAUCUUGAGUUCGGGGAGAGGUGAGUGGAACUCCGAGUGUAGAGGUGAAAUUCGUAGAUAUUGGGAAGAACACCGGUGGCGAAGGCGGCCAUCUGGACCGCAACUGACGCUGAGGCGCGAAAGCGUGGGGAGCAAACAGG
rnacentral:rRNA from 1 species